GCGACUGUAAUCUAGCUGGUUAGGAUUGUAGCCUUCCAAGCUACCUACCCGGGUUCGAAUCCCGGCGGUCGCACCA
rnacentral:tRNA from 2 species